rnacentral:tmRNA from 1 species
GGGGGUGACUGGUUUCGACAGGAUAGUUUGAGCGAAGGGCAGCAGGCCGUGGUCUCCUCGCCACGUUAAACAGGGGUAAAGCCAAUUAACUGGCAAAGUUGUUUCUUUCAAGGGUGCGCAGGCUCAGCCUGUCGCCCUGGCUGCCUAAUUUAGGUUCAGCCCUCCCAACCAGAUGCUAAACCUCUGACAUCUGCACGGGAUCAUUUUCAGGAGGUUGCUCCCGGGGACGUAGUCGGUAUGCCCCGGGCUAAGAUCGAACCGGCGGGAAGCCGCGCUCGCUUGUCGGUGUGCCUGGCGGUUUCCUAUUCGAACAUCGACUGAGCUUGGAGACACCUUUCGCAGGAUUAUCGUGGACCGGAGUUCGAUUCUCCGCACCUCCACCA